UCAUUGUUUAAGUACAUUAAAAUCUAUUUGUUUAUCGACAUCAAGCUAGGCUAUAUGCUAGCGCCAUAUGCUACGUGCUUAAUUUAUGUUACUCACCCUCGUAGUUGUGGACCUAACUUGAUAUGUCCCACUUCAAAGCUUUCUCCCAUUUCCUGAUGGGUGCAGGUAAAAGAGCGUCGACCAUUCUGUGCACAUUGUUGACAUAUACUAAUAAUAAA